GACGAACGCUGGCGGCGUGCCUUACACAUGCAAGUCGAACGGCAGCGGGGACUUCGGUCCGCCGGCGAGUGGCGAACGGGUGAGUAAUGUAUCGGAACGUACCAUUCAGUGGGGGAUAACUAUCCGAAAGGAUAGCUAAUACCGCAUAUUCUGUGAGCAGGAAAGCAGGGGAUCGCAAGACCUUGCGCUGAUUGAGCGGCCGAUAUCAGAUUAGCUAGUUGGUGAGGUAACGGCUCACCAAGGCUACGAUCUGUAGCGGGUCUGAGAGGAUGAUCCGCCACACGGGGACUGAGACACGGCCCAGAGUCCUACGGGAGGCAGCAGUGGGGAAUUUUGGACAAUGGGCGCAAGCCUGAUCCAGCCAUGCCGCGUGAGUGAAGAAGGCCUUCGGGUUGUAAAGCUCUUUCGGCCGGGAAGAAAUCGCAUCAGCUAAUACCUGGUGUGGAUGACGGUACCGGAAUAAGAAGCACCGGCUAACUACGUGCCAGCAGCAGCCGCGGUAA
rnacentral:rRNA from 1 species